rnacentral:misc_RNA from 1 species
GAAAAAUACAUAAUACACAAAAUUAAAUAAAAUGUAGAAACCCUAGCUAGAAUACUCUCUUUCUCUCUCUUUCAAUAUACUUUCCCUCCAGACUGUGGUUUCCUCCAUGAAAUGGGAAAUGGAGGUGUAUGAAAUCGAAGCUGUUCUCGAGAAAAUAUGGGAUUUACAUGAUAAACUUAGCGAUGCUAUUCACUCUGUUUCUCGAGCUCAAUUCCUCAAUUCCGUCAAGUCUCGCUCUAAGUCCGAUGACUUUUACGGUCACCGUUCUAACAAGAGAAAUGAUAACAAUGGAGAUCAGGUAAAGCAUGGUUACGUUUUCGUUAAGGAGUUUCCUGUUGAUGAGGAUGAAUCCGCUGUUCAUGAGGCUAAGAGUCUCAAUGCUAUCCGGACCGCACUUGAACACCUUGAGCACCAGCUCGAGUUCUUCCAUACCGUACAAAAUCAGCAACGUGCAGAAAGGGAUGCUGCUCUUGCUCGCUUAGAGCAAAGCCGAAUUGUACUUGCAAUGCGAUUGGCUGAACAUCCAGGUAAGAAAUACAAAUUCAUUGAAGAAGCUAAAUCUUUGGUGGGAGAUGUUCGUAAUGGCAGUCAGUUUGUUUCUCCUGAAAAUCUGUAUGGUCCUGCUACAAGCGCCACAGGUGAAAAUUU